GGCGCGGUGGCGAAACUGGCAGACGCAGCGGACUUAAAAUCCGCCGGCCUCAUGGCUUUGAGGGUUCGAGUCCCUCCCGCGCUA
rnacentral:tRNA from 1 species